rnacentral:rRNA from 1 species
GGCUUUCUGAGUAACAUGGGGGGUCGUGCCUUCCCGGUGGGUAUACGAGCCUAAACGGACGCGGUAAAUCGUGCUAAGGUAGCUAAAUUAUGGCCUAUUAAUUGUAGGUCCUGUGAAUGGUUUGACGAGUCCUCAACUGUCUCAAAGUUGCUUUGGUGAACUUGAAUUGGAUGUGUAAAUGCUUCCUUGGGUAAGAAAGACGAGAAGACCCCGUGAAGCUAGAAAUUCUUACAGUAGUGUCAGCACCCGCUUGUUUUCUAGGGUUAGAAGCCUAUUUGUUUCUAUAGUUAAAUUAGGUUUCGAGCGUGGGGAUGUUGUUUAUUGUGUUUUGGCUGGGGCAGCAAAAAGGCAAAGUUAGACCUUUUUUGUUUUUAUACGGGUGCGUUACGACCCAUAAAAUUAAAAAGUAUGAUUAGCAGAAAAAGUUACUCCGGGGAUAACAGCGUUAUCCACCUUGAUAGUUCGUAUAGAUGGGUGGGUUUGCGACCUCGAUGUUGGCUCUGGAUAUCCUGAGGCUUGUAGGAGGUCUCAAGGGUUGGUUUGUUCGCCCAUUAAAAUCCG